AUUGAACGCUGGCGGCAUGCCUUACACAUGCAAGUCGAGCGGCAGCGCGGGGGCAACCCUGGCGGCGAGCGGCGAACGGGUGAGUAAUACAUCGGAACGUGUCCAGUUGUGGGGGAUAACCAGUCGAAAGACUGGCUAAUACCGCAUACGAUCUACGGAUGAAAGCGGGGGAUCGCAAGACCUCGCGCUAUUGGAGCGGCCGAUGUCCGAUUAGCUAGUUGGCGGGGUAAAAGCCCACCAAGGCGACGAUCGGUAGCUGGUCUGAGAGGA
rnacentral:rRNA from 1 species